UCUCUCCUCUCCUGGCAGCGCCUGCC
rnacentral:piRNA from 1 species